AGCGGGAGCCACUCUCGGCCUUACUCAGCCCGCCAACGUCGAUGUUCCCAAGAUCUCUUUUUCUGCGAAAGAUGUUGAUGUAGUAGAAUGGAAAGGAGAUAUACUUGCAGUGGGCGUCACUGAGAAAGAUAUGGCCAAGGAUGAAAGCACAAAGUUUGAGAAUUCACUCCUUAAGAAGCUAGAUGCUCACCUGGGUGGUCUUUUAAGUGAAGCCUCUUCCGAGGAGGAUUUCACUGGAAAAGCCAGUCAAUCCAUUGUUCUUAGACUUCCAGGUCUUGGUUC
rnacentral:misc_RNA from 1 species